GCUGGUUUAGCUCAAUGGGCAGAGCAAUUAAUUCGUACUUAAUAGGCAAGGGGUUCGAAUCCUCUAACCAGCACCA
rnacentral:tRNA from 1 species